rnacentral:misc_RNA from 1 species
GUCUUUUUUUUUUUUUUUUUUCUACUCGUCGAUUUUUCCAUGGCUGCUCCACCUGCGAGGGCUCGAGCCGAUUACGAUUACCUCAUAAAGCUUCUCUUGAUCGGCGACAGUGGUACGUGAUCUCAUAGAUUUUUAUUCCUUUAUUCCUUUCCUUUUCGUUUUCUCCACAAGCAAACGGAUCGUCGUUUUCUUAGAAGUUAUGUUUUUGUGCAUUGUUUUGGCCUUUGAUUUGGUUUGAGUUUUUGAUUUGUUAAUUUCUCGUCAACCAUCUGAUUUCUUGAAGGAUUUGAUUUGUUAUGAGUGUCCUAGUUCUCCCGCAUUAUGAGCUUUGUGUUAGAUGUAUUGGUAAUUUUGAUUUUAGUGGCAUUUUACAAUGCUGGAAAUCAUUUUCUAGCAAAUCAGGCCUCGAAAAUGUUUUCGGCCUAUAAAUUUAUUUUAUUGUUAGAAAUGACGC